rnacentral:rRNA from 1 species
UACGGGGGGAGCAAGCGUUGUUCGGAUUUACUGGGCGUAAAGGGCGCGUAGGCGGUCGUGACAAGUCACUUGUGAAAUCUCCGGGCUUAACUCGGAACGGUCAAGUGAUACUGUCGGACUAGAGUACAGAAGGGGCAACUGGAAUUCUCGGUGUAGCGGUGAAAUGCGUAGAUAUCUGGAGGAAUACCGGUGGCGAAGGCGGCAUCCUGGACCGGCAUUGACGCUGAGGAGGCGAAAGCU